rnacentral:lncRNA from 1 species
AUUUUCAUGAAGUUCUUCUUGAAUCAAUGUAGAGUAAUGGGGCGGAAGCAAUGAAUGAAGGUGAGCAAGAUCCUCCUAGGAGUGGUGUUGAUCUUGUAGGUGCAUGCUAUGUGUGGUUAUUGGGUGGUUCAGCCAGCCCAAGGGAAAAGAUGAAGGAAUUGAAGUUUAGAGCCUAGGAUUCUAGGGAGAAGCAAAGUUUGGCACAAAAUGGCAGCAUAACUUUAC